rnacentral:rRNA from 1 species
GAUCAUGGCUCGGGACGAACGCUGGCGGCGUGCUUAACACAUGCAAGUCGAACGAAGAGCGAUGGAAGCUUGCUUCUAUCAAUCUUAGUGGCGAACGGGUGAGUAACGCGUAAUCAACCUGCCCUUCAGAGGGGGACAACAGUUGGAAACGACUGCUAAUACCGCAUACGAUCUGACCUCGGCAUCGAGGAUAGAUGAAAGGUGGCCUCUACAUGUAAGCUAUC